rnacentral:rRNA from 1 species
CCUACGGGUGGCAGCAGUGAGGAAUAUUGGUCAAUGGACGAGAGUCUGAACCAGCCAAGUAGCGUGAAGGAUGACUGCCCUAUGGGUUGUAAACUUCUUUUAUAUGGGAAUAAAACGUUCCACGUGUGGGAUUUUGUAUGUACCAUAUGAAUAAGUAUCGGCUAACUCCGUGCCAGCAGCCGCGGUAAUACGGAGGAUCCGAGCGUUAUCCGGAUUUAUUGGGUUUAAAGGUAGCGUAGGUGGAUUGUUAAGUCAGUUGUGAAAGUUUGCGGCUCAACCGUAAAAUUGCAGUUGACACUGGCAGUCUUGAGUACAGUAGAGGUGAGCGGAAUUCGUGGUGUAGCGGUGAAAUGCUUAGAUAUCACGAAGAACUCCGAUUGCGAAGGCAGUUCACUGGACUGCAACUGACACUGAGGCUCGAAAGUGUGGGUAUCAAACAGGAUUAGAUACCCCUGUAGUC